UUUCUACUAUUUUAUUAUUUUUAGAAUUGUAUUGGAGUCAUUGAUGGUACCCAUAUUCCAACAACGAUAUCUGGACGUGAUACAAGCAGUUAUAAAAAUUGUCAUGGAACAAUUUCUCAAAAUAUUUUGGCUGCUUGUAACUUUGAUUUGGAAUUUAUAUAUGUAAUUAGUGGGUAGGAGGGAUCAGCACAUGAUUCUAAAGUGUUGAGUGAUGCUUUGACAAAGAGAAAUGAACUUAAAGUGCCACAAGGUACUACUUUGUCAUUUCCUUUUUUUUUUUUUAUCUUAUUGUAUCAUAAUUACUUGUUAAUUUUACAAGUAUUUUAUGUGCAGGUAGAUAUUUUUUGGAAGACUGUGGAUUUCCAAAUCGACGUCAAUUUUUAACUCCUUUUCGAGGUGUCCGUUAUCAUCUUUAAGAUUUUGUUGGUCAAAGUCGUGACCCUGAAAAUACAAAAGAGUUGUUUAAUCUUCAUCAUGCUUCCUUGAGGAACGUAGUUGAGAGGAUAUUUGGUAUAUUUAAAUCAAGAUUCACAAUUUUCAAAACAGCUCCUCCAUUUCCAUAUCGUACGCAAGCGGAACUCGUAUUAGCUUGCGUAGGAUUACACAAUUUUCUCCGUAAAGAAUGUCGUUCCGAUGAAUUUUCAAUUGAACCUGAUAACGAAGAUCCUUCAUCUUUUUCGAUUAAUGAAGGAAAAAACUUUGGACCAUUUUUUAAGAGUUAAGAACAAGAAAGAGGUAAUGCUAAUGCAUGGAAAGCGUCUCUAGUAACUGACAUGUGAAAUGAUGUUGG
rnacentral:lncRNA from 1 species